rnacentral:tRNA from 1 species
GUUUAGGUAAUUUAUAUAAAAUGCCCAAUUGUGGAGUGGGUAAAGCAUCUUGCCUUAAACA